rnacentral:rRNA from 1 species
AAACUUUCAACAACGGAUCUCUUGGUUCUCGCAUCGAUGAAGAACGCAGCGAAAUGCGAUAAGUAAUGUGAAUUGCAGAUUUUCGUGAAUCAUCGAGUUUUUGAACGCACAUUGCGCCCUUUGGUAUUCCAAAGGGCAUGCCUGUUUGAGCGUCAUU